GGAAUGGCUACUAAUACUCCUCUGGAUCAAACUCGGCUGCUGAGUCGUCGUUCCACCACUCGUCAGUGAACUCGGCGAACCAUAGCUACUGUACCCGCUAGUAGUAGUACUACCCACCUCGACUCCAGCGAGGUGGUCAGGGAUGAUUAAUUGAGGCGGGAACUGACCCGACACUGACAUGAACGCCGAUGCAGCAGUACUGUCGGGAGACGAAGAGUGGUCGCCAAGGACGACGUCGGCGCGUGGGAAUGUAGGGUUAGUGUGACUGUACAUGGCGCGUGGAGAUGAUGCUUAUAGCUUGGUUUAGAAAGCGAGGGAAG
rnacentral:misc_RNA from 1 species